rnacentral:lncRNA from 1 species
UGAGCAGCAUGCAAAGAAAAAAGAAAAGCCCAGAAGCAAUAAGAGUAAGGAAUACGGUGUGAGCCGUGGGAAGGACUAGACGAAAGUAGCAGUAAGGAUGUGCCCCAAUGAGAAACAGCAUGAGUUGUUUUCUUCCUACUCUCUCCCACGAAGCUAGCCUCUCCAUGGAAACCCCUUAUAAAGAGAAUGGAAAAAUUUUAGCUGGAAGAAUGUGGGUUUUCAUCUGCCUCAGGAAAAUGUCCAGGCCAUCUAGGCUCUGGUGUCUGCUUUCCUGCAGUCCUGCUAAGGCCGACAUACUAUAAAGCCAGUGGAGAUGUGCUGUUUUCUGUCUGAGUUGUUCCUACUUUGCUCCAUUCUUGUGAGUCUUGUUGGAGCUACCUUUCCUAGUUCUGAAUUCCCUGACUCAAAGGCCAGGUUUGGACAUGUAGCCCAGCCCUAGCCAAUAAAUGUUCUGCCCUGGGAUUCUUUUUAAAAUCUGAAGCUAGAAGAGAAGACUUGCAUUUCAGGUCACAGAGCUGCAAAGAUGAGACUUAAGAGAUAUUGCUGGUUAUCAUCACCAGAUGGAGAGAAAGCCUGUUUGCAGAAAGAGAGAAUAAAGCCUUGCAGAAUUCAGGACAAUGGGGAGUGAGAGAAGAGACCCUACUUCCUGGUCCCUGCAGUUAACCAGUACCCUUCUGAAUUGGAGAAAUGGGAUUCAUCGCAUAAUAAAAACAGUAAUGUUAAAAAAAAAUCGUUAUCUCCCCAAAAUAGAGAAGAGUUAGAGAAGGAAGCUGUGAAGUGUGCCCAACAAGACCCACAUCUGAUGGUGGCAGUGCAGGCACAGCCCUGCUGUGGAGGGGAUUGCUGUUCCUGCCACUCAGGGCUCUCACUGCCUGUCACAGAGAGGCCCAACGAAACGAGCAGAAAUCCCAGAAGAUGGACUUUGACAAAAGGAAUCUUGGACUCUUCUUCUCUCGUGUUAGAUGUAACAGGAUCUCAUACAGACCCCUUCAUGACAAGACCGUAGGAAAACAGAUUUGUCCAUUCAACAAAUGUCUCUCCAUUGCUUGAUGGAUAUCAAGUCUAUGCAAAACUCCUUGGGGGCAUAUAAGGUCAUAUAAGGCAGGAAUACAAAUAACUAAAUCAAGUAAGUAUUGUAAUAAAAGUGCCAAAAAGAUUCGUGAAACA